rnacentral:rRNA from 1 species
GNGACGCCUGCCCAGNGAAUAAUUAAACGGCCGCGGUAUCCUAACCGUGCAAAGGUAGCAUAAUCAUUUGUCUAUUAAUUGUANACCUGUAUGAAAGGNNAAAUGAGAGCCUAACUGUCUCNUAUAACA